GGAUGGGUGGCCGAGUGGUUUAAGGCAGCGGUCUUGAAAACCGCCGCAGGUGCAAGCCUGCCGUGGGUUCGAAUCCCACCCCAUCCGCCA
rnacentral:tRNA from 2 species